rnacentral:ncRNA from 2 species
AUCAGAGUAGGAGAUAAAGCGUUAAGUGCCAAAAGGAUGGGAUGUUGCCUAUUGGACGAAGGAUGAAGAUCCGCGGUUUUGUCUUCGCAUUCGCUGCA